rnacentral:rRNA from 1 species
UACGUGAAACCGUUCAGGGGUAAACCUGAGAAACCCGAAAGGUCGAAAGGGGAGAUUCAGCGCGUCUAAAGUUUCGACGUCGGGACGUUUCGUGACGAACGGCGUUCGCGUCGUCAGCACGUACGUUUCGUCGAAUCGUUUCUGAACGCGUGCACUUCUCCCCCGGUAGGACGUCGCGACCCGUUGGGCGUCGGUCUAAGGGCCGCGGUGGAGACCGAUCGGACGGUUCGCCGUACCGAUCGAACCCGUGGUUUUACCCGGCCGACACGCUCGACGGUAUACGUAUGGCGCCGGGCCGCUACAUAGUUAGCGUUCGACCUGUGGCAAGCUCGUUUCUCGCUUCGAUCAUCGGACCUGGUGCCGAUUUCGGGCGAGGACGGCUGUUCGCCGCAGCGUUCUCGAACAGACCCGUUGAAACGCCGUUCUGCGACGCUAUUGCUUUGGGUACUUUCAGGACCCGUCUUGAAACACGGACCAAGGAGUCUAGCAUGCACGCGAGUCAUUGGGACUCAUAACUAUAUCUAAAGGCGUAAUGAAAGUGAAAGUCAACCUCGCGUUGACCCAGGGAGGAUGGGUGAUCCUUGGAUCGCUCCGCACUCCCGGGGCGUCUCGUUCUCAUUGCGAGAUGAGGCGCACCAAUAGCGUACACGCUGGGACCCGAAAGAUGGUGAACUAUGCCUGGUCAGGACGAUAGUCAGGGGAAACCCUGAUGGAGGUCCGUAGCGAUUCUGACGUGCAAAUCGAUCGUCUGAACUGGGUAUAGGGGCGAAAGACUAAUCGAACCAUC